rnacentral:rRNA from 1 species
AUACGUAGGUGGCAAGCGUUGUCCGGAAUUAUUGGGCGUAAAGCGCGCGCAGGCGGUCCUUUAAGUCUGAUGUGAAAGCCCACGGCUCAACCGUGGAGGGUCAUUGAAAACUGGGGGACUUGAGUGCAGAAGAGGAAAGUGGAAUUCCAAGUGUAGCGGUGAAAUGCGUAGAGAUUUGGAGGAACACCAGUGGCGAAGGCGACUUUCUGGUCUGUAACUGACGCUGAGGCGCGAAAGCGUGGGGAGCAAACAGGAUUAGAUACCCUGGUAGUCCACGCCGUAAACGAUGAGUGCUAAGUGUUAGGGGGUUUCCGCCCCUUAGUGCUGCAGCUAACGCAUUAAGCACUCCGCCUGGGGAGUACGGUCGCAAGACUGAAACUCAAAUGAAUUGACGGGG